ACAUUACACGUAAACCAUUCCCUGAAUAUGUCUACAAAAGAAUCAAGCAGCGGGAUGAGGUUUGCCAGCCUGUCCCUGUUGAGCGAGCACCAUAUGGAGAAGUGGGCUCAGUCCAGUCCAGCAGGGGAGGAAAAUAGACGUAUCCCUAAAGUGUGGCUCUCCCAGAUAAAGCCAGAUGAAAAUUAUCCUGCUUGCCCCAUCUAAGCAAUGCAUUCUGGUGCCCGUCGUGAGCAAGUCCAGCAUUAACUUUUGAAGAGCCAAAAUUUACCAGCUGCAAAAAUAGGCACUACAGAUCUUAAUAUGCUUUAAUGAGUGAAUGUUGUCAUUCUAGUAAUUGCUUUAAAGGACUUUAGUUAAUUGAACCAAACAUUUAUAACAGCAGAGUAACACAAAAAAGCAAAGCUAUGUUAACACGACAGCUACUCUGCAAAGUCUUACUCUGACUGCUGGGAAGGUAUUUCUUCACAUUUUACUUUUUAAAAACAUCACGUAGUCUAGCAAAAUAAUAAGGCAAUACAUUUCUUUCUAGGGCUUAAACACAAGUUUUCUUUAUUCUUGCCCUAUAAAGCCACCAUAGAUUGUCUAAUUCUCUUGCUUCACAUGGUAGAGAGGAGUUCUGUGUUCACGAAUUCACAGAUUAAGGCCAGCAAGGGACCAUUAUAGUUGUCCGGUCUGACCUUCUGCACAACACAAGCCACAAAUUUCACCCAGUAGCUCCUGAAUCUAGUUCAACGGCUUGUGGUUGAAUUACAGCAUACCUUUUGGAAAGACACCCAAUCUUGCUAUCAAGUGCUGUACUUGGUUCCUCCUUCCUGGAAGAAAUUAAAUGCUGCCAGAGAUCAUUCUGAUCUAGUAGUGCCACCACUGUGCCAAAAGUGUAUGGUGGCCCUCCUGGAGCUCUAUUCCAACCAGUCUGGUCAGGUGCUUCUUUUAUCCCCUCUCCCAGGCUAAUCUAGGUGGUGAGAAAACUGGUGGUGAUUCUACAAAUCUGCCAGCAUUACCCAGCUGCACUAGCUCUGCACAGUGACACACACUACGCAUAGAGAAGCAUGGAUACAGGAUGCAAUAAAAGUUUAACAGGGCAACUUGGCCCAGAGUAUAUUAGCAAUAACUAGAGCUGAUUUUUAAAAAAGCUUCAAAAUUUAAUUUUUUUGCAAUACUUUCAAUUUUGCAGGUUUGAAACAGACCUAUUUUUCAAUGUUUUUUUAUUCAAAAUCAUUGUUGAAUUUUCUUAUGGACCAAAAACUGGGUUUUUGACAAAGGAAAUGUUAACAAAAGUCAGUGAUUCCUGGAGUCUGUUCCUUUA